rnacentral:lncRNA from 1 species
AUCUGAGGCAGGGGCAUGGCUGCCUUGGGAAACAACGGCAACAACCUGGGGUUUCUGGACGGGAGAUUUAAAUUUGGGGAUAAAAAUGAUGUGCGGCGCGGUUUAAUGAUAAACUUAACAUACGAUGUGUGAUAAUGUGACGUAACGUACAGAGCGUGUGUGCGUUUUACACGCGAUAUAUAAUGACGUCAUAACAAGGAGCGGGAUAUAAAAUAAAAUAUGAAGAAAGUAAGCUUUUAGCACAAUUUUUUAUAUUUAAAAUUAAUAACAAAAACAACAAUAGUAAUAAUAACAAUAAUAGUAAUAAUAUUUAAUUUUUUUUCCUGCACGGACAGAUGUGGCUAUAUUACUUUAUACUUAAAAAUAAUAAUAACAGAAAUGAUGAUAAAAAUGUUUUAAAUUUAAAUUUUGAUUUUUAUUUUUUAUUUAUUUAUUUAUUUAUUUAUUUAUUUUUGCACAGACACCGUCGUGGUCCGGAGUUUGGAACCCAGAAUUUUUUUCCUUUUUUUUUUUUUUUUUUUGUAUAAUAAAAAUGAUGUAUAACGUGUGAUAAUGUGAUUUAGUGUGUGGUAUGUGUAAAACGUAUGGUAAUCUAUGGCAGUGUAAUAGCACCGUAAUAUGUAUGUAAUAUAGAAUGAAAAUUAUUAAAAUAAUAAAAAGUAAUUUAAUCAAUAAAACAUUUUAAAUAGUAUAUAAUAUUAUAUACAAGAAGAUAAUUUUAUGACAAUUUUUUAUAUAAUAAAGACAAUAUGUAAGGUGAUAAUAUAACACAUAGUAUAUGAUAUAUACGGUAAUAAAAGAAAUAAAAUAGAAAUAACAAAAUUAAUAUAUAGCAUGGAAAGGGCACAUUUAAUAAUAAAAAUAUAGAACAUAUGAUAAACAGAUAUAACAUAUAGAGUGUCUAUAUAUUAGAUGCAAUGUAUAACGGUAUGAGAACAGCAAGAAGCCUGAUAUAAAUAAUAUAUAGUACAAAAUAUGCAUUUAGGACAAUUUUUAUACUUAAAAUAAUAAUAAUAAAAUAGUAUUUUAAAUUUUUGAAAUUUUUUACUGCAUUGAUGCGUCCAUGGUAGUUUAUAUAUAACAAUAACAAUAACAAUAAUAAUAGUUUAAUAAUAGUAAUAAUAUAUAAUAACAAAAUACUAUUUUAAAUUUAAAUUUUGGAAUUUUUUUACUGCAUUGAUGUGGCCAUGGUAGUCUAUAAAUAAUAAUAAUAAUAAUUUAAAUUUUGAAGUCUGUGUUUUUCCUGGGCCGACGCAGCUGGGGACAGGAGAGUUUGGAUUUCUAAAUUCUUUUAAUUAAUUUUUUUACAAUAAAAAUGACAUCUAAGGUGUGAUAAUGUGAGGUGAUAUGUAGCAUAUUUAACACGUAGGAUAGUCUAUGGGUAAAUAAUAAAUAAUAGAUAAUAUGUAGUGUCAUUUAUAUACGUAAUAUAUCGUAAAAGUUCGUAUUUUAAAAUAAUAUAUCCUAUAUAUACCGUAUAGUAAAAUAAUUUUAUGGCCGCCUUUUUGUGUAAUAAAAUAUAUGUAACACAGUAAUACGAGACGUCGUAUAUGACACAUGUGGUAGCAAAUAAAAAAAUAGUCGUAAUGUACGUAACACAUAAUCAGAUAGUAGUAAAGGUUUUAUAUCGUGAGAGGAAAUUUAAAUUUUGAAAAAAAUAAUAUUUUUGCCCCGACGGACGCGGCUUUGUCCAGGUGGUGGGGGAGGGGCAGCGGCUUUGCCAAAAAAAAAAAAUCCUUAAAAAACCAAGAAAACAACCUAGAAAUACAUUAAAAGCCUGAAAAAAACCAAAACCAACCAAAAAACCAAA